CUACUAACUCCAUGCUGAUGAAAUUUUGCAAUAUGAUACUACUGGGCUCUUCACAGACCUCUUUACUUAGCAGAGAUGAAUAAAAAGCAGGAGCACACCUCUGCAUAUUGCAAAGCUAGCCUUUUUCAUGUACAUCUGCAAAUGGAACCAGGAUCAUAAGAAAAUGCUAUGGGCCAUCUGUUUCUGACAGGCUACUAUAAAAAUGCAACAGAUCAGCAAGAUGAUGUGAAUCUUAAGUCUAGACUACAUCUGUAGGUGACCUCCCAGCAGAAAGCAUCCACCUACAAAAGGCAACGACUGUAUUUUCUUUACUGUUUUUCUGCUUUUUCUGCUUGUCAGACAAAUUACAUGUUUAAUUGAUAGCUGUAUAUAUAAUUAAGAAAAACUAUAACCCUUUCUUUCCUCUCUCAUGUGGCUGACAAAAGAAGACCGUGCUUUUAAUGAUAAUUCAUAGCUUAGCACUGUACACUGCUUUGGUGUUUUUGUGCCCUGACUCAUGUACAUCUUAAAGAUACACAAAUAAAUAUCUAAUAAAGGUCUAUAAACUCAA